ensembl:misc_RNA 7SK 7SK RNA
GGAUGUGAGGGCGAUCUGGCUGCGACAUCUGUCACCCCAUUGAUCGCCAGGGUUGAUUCGGCUGAUCUGGCUGGCUAGGCGGGUGUCCCCCUCCUCCCUCACCGAUCCAUGUGCGUCCCUCCCGAAGCUGCGCGCUCGGUCGAAGAGGACGACCUUCCCCCGCCAGGAGAGUACCGGUCUUCGGUCAAGGGUAUACGAGUAGCUGCGCUCCCCUGCUAGAACCUCCAAACAAGCUCAAAGAGGAAGGGAAAAGGAGAAAUAGAAACUUCAAUGAUGAGAGAGAAUUAUUAAUU